CGGGGUGUGGCUCAGCUUGGUAGAGCGCUUGGUUCGGGACCAAGAGGUCGUCGGUUCAAAUCCGGCCGCCCCGACCA
rnacentral:tRNA from 1 species